rnacentral:ncRNA from 1 species
GGUUAUUCAUAUAAGGGCGCAUGGAGGAUGCCUUGACAUAAAAAGGCGAUGAAGGACGUGGCGUAACUGCGAUAAGCUUCGGGGAGGUGUUUAGCGACCUUUGAUCCGGAGAUUUCCGAAUGAGACAACUCUGCCGUGCAAACCACGGCAACCAAUGCGUAGCACUGGAAUUUUAAAUUUUUCCGCCAAAGGCGGAUCCCGCUCAAUGGCGGGACAAUUUUCAAUCAAUUUUUAAUGACUUAAUUUUCAAACAUUAAAAAAUUAAAAUCAUUAUUUAGAAAUUAAAAAUUAAAAAUUAGAAAUUAGAAAUUCCACUGCUGCGCAGUGGAGCAUACCCGCUGAAGUAAAACAUUUCAGUAAGCGGAGGAAAAGAAAUUAUUCCCUUAGUAGCGGCGAGCGAACAGGGAGAAGCCCAAACCCAACCGUACCUCACUGUGUUUGGAAUGGAAUUUU